GUUGGGUAUGGUUUACCCAUGGGUCAUGGAUAAAACCCCAACACUCAAAUUUUUCAAAUGAAAUAAAUGAAAACAAAAUAAAUGAACACAAAUAAGUGAAAGGCCACCAUUAAAUUUUUUACGGCGUGAUCAAUUGUCAACAGUUAGAAAAUGAAAAUAACAUGUAAAAAUAAAUUUAAAUUAAAUAAAUAUUGUUGUAAAUAACAUAAAUUUUUUUUCUUAUUUACAAAAAUAAUUCCUCCCACAUGGAAGGAUCAUCAUAGAAAGAGCAGGAAACUCUACUAGUGAUCAAUAAUAACUCGGCUUGGACUGGGUCCGAUAUGCUAGAUGGCGGCUAAUUUUUGGUCAAUAAUUGAAUGUAAUGCCCAUAUUAGGCCAUGUACAAAACUUUGCUUACCAUAUAAUGAAAUUAGAACAUAAAGCAUACACACUAUAUAAUAUCAGAAUGUAAAUAAAAUUAAGCAUAUAAGUAGACAAC
rnacentral:lncRNA from 1 species